rnacentral:rRNA from 1 species
UCCGUAGGGGGUCUGCCAAGUCUGAUGUGAAAUCCCGCAGCUCAACUGCGGACGUGCAUUGGAUACUGGCGGGCUUGAGUGCGCGAUGGGAAAGCGGAAUUCCUGGUGUAGCGGUGGAAUGCGUAGAUAUCAGGAAGAACACCAGCGGCGAAGGCGGCUUUCUGGCGCGUAACUGACCCUGAAGGACGAAAGCGUGGGUAGCGAACAGGAUUAGAUACCCUGGUAGUCC